UCCGGUUGAUCCUGCCGGAGGUCACCGCUAUUGGAGUUCGAUUAAGCCAUGCGAGUCGAGAGAUUUCGGAUCUCGGCACACUGCUCAGUAACACGUGGAUAAUCUGCCCUAAGGUGGGGAAUAAUCUCUGGGAAACUGAGAAUAAUGCCCCAUGGACCUCAUAUGCUGGAAUGCUUUGAGGUUUAAAGCUCCGGCGCCUUAGGAUGAGUCUGCGGCCUAUCAGGUUGUAGUGAGUGUAACGGACUCACUAGCCGACGGCGGGUACGGGCCUUGGGAGAGGUAGCCCGGAGAUGGAUUCUGAGACACGAAUCCAGGCCCUACGGGGCGCAGCAGGCGCGAAAACUUCACAAUGCGGGCAACCGCGAUGAGGGAACUCCAAGUGCCAGUACAUUGUGCUGGCUGUUCGCUUGCCUAAAAAGCUUGCGGAGUAAGGGGUGGGUAAGACUGGUGCCAGCCGCCGCGGUAAUACCAGCAGCCCAAGUGGUGAUCGCUAUUAUUGGGCCUAAAGCGUCCGUAGCCGGGUUGGUAAACCCUUGGGUAAAUCGUACAGCUUAACUGUACGACUUCCGAGGAGACUGCCAACCUUGGGACCGGGAGAGGUCGGAGGUACUCCAGGGGUAGGGGUGAAAUCCUGUAAUCCUUGGGGGACCACCGGUGGCGAAGGCGUCCGACUAGAACGGGUCCGACGGUAAGGGACGAAGCCCUGGGUCGCAAACCGGAUUAGAUACCCGGGUAGUCCAGGGUGUAAACGCUGCGGGCUUGGUGUUGCGGGUCCUACGAGGGCGCGCAGUGCCGGAGAGAAGUUGUUAAGCCCGCCGCCUGGGGAGUACGCUCGCAAGAGUGAAACUUAAAGGAAUUGGCGGGGGAGCACCGCAACGGGUGGAGCGUGCGGUUUAAUUGGAUCCAACGCCGGAAAACUCACCGGGGGCGACUGGUACAUGAAGGCCAAGCUGAUGACUUUGCCUGAUUUCCAGAGAGGUGGUGCAUGGCCGCCGUCAGUUCGUACCGCAAGGCGUUCUGUUAAGUCAGAUAACGAACGAGACCCCUGCCUUUAAUUGCUAUCCACCCCUCCGGGGGUGGAGCACAUUAAAGGGACCGCUGGUGCUAAAUCAGAGGAAGGGGGGGGCAACGGUAGGUCAGUAUGCCCCGAAUCUCCCGGGCUACACGCGCGCUACAAAGGGCGGGACAAUGAGUUUCGACACCGAAAGGUGAAGGUAAUCUCGAAACCCGUUCGUAGUUCAGAUUGAGGGCUGUAACUCGCCCUCAUGAAGCUGGAAUCCGUAGUAAUCGCGGAUCAACAUUCCGCGGUGAAUAUGCCCCUGCUCCUUGCACACACCGCCCGUCAAACCAUCUGAGUUGGGUUUCGAUGAGGGUACCCUUCCCUGGGGUAUUCGAGUCGAGGUUCAGCAAGGAGGGUUAAGUCGUAACAAGGUA
rnacentral:rRNA from 1 species